UCGAGGUGUAGCGCAGUUUGGUAGCGCACAUGGUUUGGGACCAUGGGGCCGGGGGUUCGAGUCCCUUCACCUCNGG
rnacentral:tRNA from 1 species